CGGAAGGUGCGGCUGUGUGGACGGCAACUGGCUUGGAAGACCAGAGGAUAGUUUUAACGCUAUCGAGGUUCGACUCCUCCUCCUUCCGU
rnacentral:tRNA from 1 species